AACGAACGCUGGCGGCGUGCCUAACACAUGCAAGUCGAACGGGAAUGUUUCCUUCGGUGAACUAGUACCGUGGCGCACGGGUGAGUAAUACGUAGGUUACCUGCCUUUCGCUGGGGAAUAACUCCGGGAAACCGGAGCUAAUACCGUAUACGCCCUGCACUUCAUUGUGCCGGGGAAAGAUGGCCUCUCCAUGCAAGCUAUCGGCCACAGAUGGGCCUUCACACCAUUAGCUAGAUGGUAGGGGAAUGGCCUACCAAGGCUACGAUGGUUAGCUGGUCUGAGAGGAUGAUCAGCCACACUGGAACUGAGACACGGUCCAGACUCCUACGGGAGGCAGCAGUGGGGAAUAUUGCGCAAUGGGCGAAAGCCUGACGCAGCAACGCCGCGUGAGUGAUGAAGGCCUUCGGGUCGUAAAGCUCUGUCAGAAGGAAAGAAUAUCUUCAGGGAACAAUACCCCUGUUGAAUGACGGUACCUUCAGAGGAAGCACCGGCUAACUCCGUGCCAGCAGCCGCAGUAA
rnacentral:rRNA from 1 species